UUUAACCCAACAUGUAACACCAUUCAUUACAUGAGCUUUAUCCAUGGGUAAAAGUAAUGGCACAACUCAUUAUUUUCCCGUUCAUUACUUGCACCAGCCAGUCCAAAUGAACACUAUACUAGAGCUUAUUGACGCAUCGCAUUACACUCUAGCACGGCAUUGCAACGCUCACUGGACUCUCGUCUGGUUGACUUCUCUGCUUUUCCUCUCCUUGCUUUCUCUAUCUCUUUGUAUACAAUGUACUACCUUGUGGCAGAGAAAACGAUCUCCUCUUCCAGAGUUCAAUUAUUUGUCAAGCAAUCAUUUUACUCUUCCAACAACUACUGCAUAAAUGGGAAAACGAAACCGAUUUUGUUUUGUUCUCCGCGCUCCCAGCACCAGGUGGAACCACACGCGGCGCUUCCGAUCUCGGAGGAUGUAACAAGACGAGCGGUUGACGGAGCUGCAUUGUGUAGUCAGCCGGCUUUUAUCGUUUUAGGUUGUACAGUUUGUUAGUUUACCGUAAAUAUGUCUUGAUUUAUACUCAAGAGUGGAGCAAGGCCCGAGGGAACAGAGACUGACGCAUCGUGAGCGAAGAACAGACGCGAUGGAUGGUUAGGCUGCUUGACUCUCGGCUGUACGACUCUCGGCAUGUUAGGACUGGCAAAGUUCCGAAUUUGUCGCGGUGUGGUGUACGCUUCUGUGCUCGUCAAGUGCCGUCCUAGCGCGGGGAUGUUUGAACGGAGUGUGUCCCUUCGUCUACAAAACUCUGCACGCUGCGGCAUCGAAGAAGUCCUGUGAACGGGUGCACGUAUGCGCUUGGAUACGGGAUAGCCUGCCCUCAACGGAUGUUCAACAGUGUACGCACGCUGCGCGUACGCGUACGUAUGAGACUAGUUGCUGGUGUCCUGCUGGAGCUGAGAAAUCUGCUGCCUGCCAUGAGGCCAUGUCUCUCAAGUUACCGCAAUAUUAUUGCCUUCAAACCUGUCGAGACAAGGUUUCUUUACAUGGCCAUGGCCCUCAAGGAAGAAACCGAGACUGCAGACUGCCAACGUUCAUUCCUGUUUUGGCAAAGACGGGCCAGCAGUAACCAGCUGGGUUUUACAAAGUGAACUCAUCACAGCUUGAGCCACUCCAUGCCACAAGCAGUUGCUCGUCGAGCCACCGUGCAAAGGUUCCUUGGGGCUCAAGUCCAACUCAGCGCCACCACCUCUCUUCUGCAGUUUUUCUACCUACUUAGCUAACCAGCAGCAAGUUUAUCCUUGCAAGGCAUGUGGGAACAGCUUUCACCAGGAAACAGUGCAAGACGAGUGCUCGAAGAAAAUAAAAUUGCUUCUGUGAUCUAAAGUACUUGACGAAUAAAAUUUUGCACUUAUUUGUAUAUAUGUUGUGCAAUUCAUUCAUAUCACAAAAGGCAAAGUGUUUGAUCUUUUGAGCUAUUUCAAUGUGUUGGCUAGACAGUUUUCUCCAUAGCGACCUGCUGCUUCUGCGAUGAGCUGUAUUCAUGACAUUUGCAUUAAAGGAUGUACUAUCGGGGACAAAAGUGCCCAGGACGUGCGAGUGUCGACCAAAUUGCAUCUCUGCACUAUCAGCCGCUAUCAUCUGCAUUGCAGACCACUUUCCGAAUGCAAAUGUUAGCAUGGCUGAUCCCAGCAGAAAGUGCACCAAUAAAAUUCGGUCGACAUUCGCACAUUUUGGGCACUUCUGUCCCCGAUAGUACAUUCUCUAAACAAUCAAUAUGCUCUGUAAAACGUAAUACAGAAAACACCUGUAUUUUAACGAUUGGACCGUAUAGUACAGAUUUUGCAUACGGAGCCUUUUUAUUUCUGAGUACGGAAACACCUGUAUGUUAACGGUUGGACCGUAUAGUACAGAUUCAGCAUACAGAGUCUUUCGUUUUCUGGAUACGGAAACACCUGUAUUUUAACGGUUGGACCGUAUAGUACAGAUUCAGCAUACGAAGCCUUUCGUUUUCUGGAUACGAAAACACCUGUAUUUUAACGGUUGGACCGUAUACUACAGAUUCAACAUACAGUGCCUUCCGUUUUCUGAAUACGGAAAGCACCUGUACAUUAACGGUCGAGCCAUACGAUUCAGCAUACAGAGUCUUCCGUUUUCUGAAUAUGUAAGCACUCGUAUUUUGUAAUACGGUCUAUUUUUACGGUUGUCCGUUCUACGGAAAUGACCGUUCUUUACUUACGGAAAGUGUUCGGUCACAAAUUACCAGCAGAUUUGCCGUAAAACCAAAGCAAUUUUUUUUACA